CUACGGGUGGCUGCAGCGAGGAAUAUUGCACAAUGGGGGGAACCCUGAUGCAGCAACGCCGCGUGGAGGAUGACGCAUUUCGGUGUGUAAACUCCUUUUAUAUGUCAAGAAAAUGACGGUAGCAUAUGAAUAAGCACCGGCUAACUCCGUGCCAGCAGCCGCGGUAAUACGGAGGGUGCAAGCGUUACUCGGAAUCACUGGGCGUAAAGGACGCGUAGGCGGGUUGGAAAGUCAGGUGUGAAAUCCUACAGCUUAACUGUAGAACUGCACUUGAAACUUCUAAUCUAGAGUAUGGGAGGGGGAGAUGGAAUUAGUGGUGUAGGGGUAAUAUCCAUAGAUAUCACUAGGAAUACCUAAAGCGAAGGCGAUCUCCUGGAACAUUACUGACGCUAAGGCGUGAAAGCGUGGGGAGCAAACAGGAUUAGAUACCCUAGUAGUC
rnacentral:rRNA from 1 species